CCAGCAGCCGCGGUAAUACGGAGGAUGCGAGCGUUAUCCGGAUUUAUUGGGUUUAAAGGGAGCGCAGACGGGCCUUUAAGUCAGCUGUAAAAUCGCGCGGCUCAACCGCGUGCAGCAGUUGAAACUGGAGGCCUUGAGUGCGGUCGCGGCAGGCGGAACUCGUGGUGUAGCGGUGAAAUGCAUAGAUAUCACGAAGAACCCCGAUUGCGAAGGCAGCCUGCCAGGCCUGGACUGACGUUGAGGCUCGAAGGUACGGG
rnacentral:rRNA from 16 species